CGAAUACAGACAAGGUGGUGGUUAACAAGUGAUUCCCUGUGACUUAAUACUAUUUGACCGAGCCUACAAGACAAUAACAGUAAAAAAAACUAGCAGAAGCUAUUUCAGAGACUGCUUUCUGACAGUCAAGUUUGUGACAGGAGAAAGUGAAAGAAGAGAAAGUGAAAGAAGAGAGAGCAAAAGAAAAGUUCUUGGCUCUAGUUAUUAGGGAGAGAAAGUAGAAAGAAAGAGUGAGAAUGGCUUACCAUGAGAGAAAGAACAUGUUUCCUUUUAUAAUGCAGCGCGGCGCAUGUGAGAACACACCAACUGCAGUAUUAGCGAGUAAGUAGCUAACUCAAUCAUACCCCUAGGACAUAGUUGGUAGCUAGCUUAUCGCAUCAUUGGCAUUCAAGCCCAAGCAUUGGGGUGGCAGAGGAGACUUGUCAUAUACGUUACUCUCUGACCCUAAAACUUAACUUGAAAAACUCCAUCAAUAUAAGUUCGACGACCGAGCUAUUACGUUAAGAUGAUAAUCGAACUUGCUAUGAAGCUACAGUCCGACGGCGACACAUGUUUAAGCUCGACUGAGAGUGAAGUCGAAUUAUUUUAUCCUAUUACAAUUUUUCCUCAGGUUCGUAUGAGAUCGGUUAACAACUGUUAAAGGUUAUGAGAGUUGUUGCCCAAGAAUCCGGUUGAGGAGACAGAUGUAAGAGUUGAAAGUGCCUGCAAAUGGUCAUUUCACUUUCCUUUCGUGCCACAUGUCAGUAUCUGAUGCUAUGGAGUUGACGUUAGGGCAUAGAACUUGAAGCGCGCACAUUACCCUUAGUUUGAGCGAGAAACGAAUCGGCCUACUUUUCACCUUCAAUUCUAAAGCUUCUAGAUAAGAGUCUCUGCAAUAGCGAAUCUAGAGCACCAAUGAAUCACCGUAUUCUUCGACAAUGUCUCCGUCAUUGACGGCCUUACUUUUCCACACCGAUCGUCUCUAAACAACCACAGUAAGUCCCAUUUAUAAUUUUUCACAAUGUUUUUCAAUUUUUUCAUGUUUGAAUCUCUUUGAGGUUAGUUGUGAUGUUUGUAUUUUGCUUUAGAUCUGCAAUUUUUGUAGUUUGCAAGCUUUUGAAAUGCUUGAAUCACAAUUUUGAGUCUGUCAUGGUCGUUCGUCCACCAUUGACGAGCAAAUGUUGAGCUUCUUGGACACCGAGUGCUUUGGGUUGCUUUUUGAUCCGUUUCCACUAUUGAAAUUGGUCUGACUUGUGUUUGUGCAACUAAAUCUCAUAUAGGAGUGAUAACUCAGCGAUGCAUUAGGGUUAGGCUUUUGCCCCCAAGUCGUUUGUGUACUGACAAAACAUCCAGGCGCAUAAACAACUUAAAUGAGUUCCCUAAAACACACUAUAACUCGGGUGAUGUAUAACUAGGCUACGUGGAUAGAGCUUGGAACUCACAUAUAGUUCAGCUCACUUUGCCCUAGUACGUUAUUUUUCGUUGAUCUGAACUAGGUUAGGAGCUCGAAGUAACAAGAUUUUGUUUAGUUUUAGACACAUGGAACUUAAUCGAGCUAAGCAACUUGUGCAUGACGAUGUUUCCUUAACAAGAUUUAGGAGGGAUCACGAGAUGUCUUUAAAGAGCAACUUGGUCCGCAUGAGGUAGCCACUACGGUAUGAGGUAACGAUGACUACAUCUUGGUCCGCACUUGGCUUAUUCAUCAAGUCGGACUUCAGUUUUCCAUUAGUCCAAUGUUAAAGGAAGUAAUGGCUCAUUGUGGCCUCACCUUCAUGCAGGUUUCCAUCAAUUUCGUUAGGACUAUUCUCAUUGUCGACACCUUGAUACGACGAGAGGGGUUGCCGUUCUCAAACUCCUAUCUACUGAAUGUGUAUACCGUAAUUUGACAGAAGCAGGAGCCUAGUAUAAACCUCUUUACGGGGAAUCACUAUCUGAGGCUUAGAAACAACCAACAACCUUGGUCUAGGCUUUUAACCGAGAACCCAAACAAGGACCUAUACUUGGAUGAGUUCAUUUGGGUGUCUAGAAAUUGGGAGUCCCGCCCCAAUGACGACAAGAUAUGGUCUUUCCCAAGAAUGAAUGGUAGUAUUGAUGAUGGUAAGGUCUUAUAUUGGUCACGCGCACUUACUUUUGUUGUAUUUCAUUCUUUUAUCUAAUCAUAUUAUAACAAGUUGCAUCUCAUUUUGUUUACUUUGUAGGUUUCAACUGCCAUUACAAGACUCGUUCGAAGUAGUGAAAGGUUGCAAUUAGGCACGUCAACUAAGAACUAUGCGAUGUUGCAACCUUGGUGCAAUACAAGCCAAUUUGCCGCCACACCAGUCCCACCGAACUGCAGCUGACAAUUGUCGUUCCCCUACUUUGGAUCAAAGAACCAGCAAACCCCGCCCAGCGUGCUUGCCUUCAAGUGUAAAUGAUCAGACUAUAAUUAUAUGGAUAAAUGCUAAUGUUGCUAACUUCAUAAGAAAGGUAGAUGAACAAUAAGCAGGUAUCAAUAGCUCCAGCUCGUUAAGCUUUCAAGAAGCGAGAUGCUCUUAUUGAGAAAGAGGAAGAGUAAGAGGAGGAGAAAGACAAAAAAGUUGUUUUGGGAGGUAACCUAGCCAUAGUCGAUCCAAUCCAAUUCUUAUUUCAAGCUCAAACGACGAAGCCCCGAGGUUGUCUUAGUCCACCCGAUCCCAAAAUCAAGAGCUAUAAGGGAGGAGGUUGAACACUUCUUCCAAGAAGAAGGAAAAGAAAAAGAGGUGUCCAACUCAGCUUCAAUCAUGCCGCUGAAGUUAUUGAAGAUUGGUAGGAAGUCCACCGGCACUGCUCUAUAGACGAACAAAUUUCCUUGUCGCCCGCUGAGGUUCAGCACUCUUUUCCUUCCACCCGACAGCAGAAGAAGAAGGACAAAUGGAAGGGACAUGAGGUAGGCACUACCAGGAAAAGGCGUCGUAGGACUGGCAUGAGCUUUGCUGAUGGCUCCCUUCCACCCAGUUUUUGUGCUAAACUUUUGGAAUCCCAAGUUAUCAAUUGGGGAGUUCGGCCAUCAUGUGACCUAUGACUACACUUCACAGGACUUCAAGACUUGUUUUGUAGUAGCGUAGGCAGUAAUGCUGAAGUGCUAUGUUGCCAAGCGCGAUAAGGAGGACGGCGUGAAAGACUACAAUGUCGAUUCAGCAAGAACUCCAAGUUAAGUAUUGAUUUAGACUUGUUCAAAUUUUACUUUCAAUAAUACUUAUAAUUUAACUAAAUAUUUUUCGUUGGCUCUUUGAAAUCAGUGGUGAACUACCAGCGUGAGAAGAAAUGCUCGGAUGAUUUGAAGACGGCUUAGAAACGCUCGGAGGAGGAACUCGUCGCUACUAUCGAGGACAUGAAAAAGAAAUAUAAAGAGAUCCUCGAGCUCCGAUAGGUAGCUCACAAGCCUUGUACUAGCGCGUUUACAAACAUGGCUAGAACAAGAUCGAUAACUUUUAUGUCUGCAAUGCCAAGGAUAGAGCGAAGAUCUUCCAUGAGGUUUGGUUAGCCUACCUGAAGGAGAUUGGCAUAUCCUUUGAUCAUCCGGCGUGGUUUGCCAAUGGCAUACCCCGAUCCCACUCUAAAAUUAAUCACCAUCAUCUCCGAGUUUUGAUGAAGAGGAAUACUUUAACUACCUGUGUAUGGGAUGACAACAUGAAGAUGGGAGCAACCGAGGGGGAGGUGAAGAAGGAAGUAGAUCAAGCAGCAUGUGGUUCCUUGGACAACCCUCCGACUCCGAAGGAGUGAAGCUGACCUGACACCGGGGUUUGUCUAUUUUGAGAAUUUUCUAAGAAAGUUGUAAUUAAAUUUCCAAACAAAUCCCGUCAAGGACAAACACUUUACUUCUGUAAAUAGAUUUCAUUUCCUUUCUAACUCGUUUUACCCCCUUGCAUGCUUUAACGAAUUUUUGUUUCACAUGGAAUAUCUAUUGAAGGUUUAGGAACCUGAGGUCGGUGCUCAGCAAAUAGUCUCGUGAUUGGAUUAAGAUAUCUUAAGCUCGUGCUUAAGCAGUUCGGAGAAUAGUCUCGCACUUGAAUUAAGACAUUCUGAGCUCGGUGCUCAAAUAAAUGAGCAUUGCAUCUCGUUCACCCAUAUUUUACACUUAGAAAAAAAUUAAUAUGAAAGAAUGGAUUCCUCAAAGUCGAGAUAAAUCCGUUUCUCAACACUUAGAAAAAUUUUGAUAUGAAAUAAUGAAUUCUUUUAAAUUGAGGUAAAUCUGUUUUUCAAUACUUAGAAAAAAUUUUGUAAGUAACAAAAAGACUUUGGGUAGUUCAAGUCAAAAUAAAGUAGAAUAUAAACUGACUGAAAUGAAGAUGAAACAACAGAACUCAAAGAUUGAAUUGAUCAAAAAAAAGUUAAAAUCUUUUUUGUGAAGUAGAUCGGUUCAAAAGUAAAAUAGUUAAAUGUUUACUAAUAAACUUUUCUUAAGUUGUUAGAGUUCCAAGGUCUUAGAAUUUUCUUGCCUUCCAAGUUGUCAAGAUUGUAAACUCAUUUGCCAAAGAGCUUAGUGAUUUUGUACGGACUUUCCUAAUUUUGGCCGAGCUUUCUAACAACCUUUCUCAGAACAAGGUCAUCAAACACAAUUUCUCUGUGUUGGCCUCUUUGUUGAUAGGUUUUGGAGAGCUGUCUAAGCUGUCAUUCGUAUGAAUGCAUUUCUCCUUCUUCGGGAAGGUCCAGGUCCCAAACUAGCACAUCAGCAUUGUGGCCAGUAUCAUAAGUUUGAUUUGGAUUGUGGGCAAACCCAAUCUCCAGCGGAUACAGUUCGAAACCGAAGUCAAAACAGGGGGAAAUAAGUCAUUUUGUGUUGCCUUCCGCGGUGUAAUUAGUAGGCCCACUAUACAAUCAGUAAUUCCUUAACUCAUUUGCCUUUGGCUUUUUCAAGUCUUUUAUUGAUCCUACUCGUGAUAGUCUUGUUGGAUGCCUCAGCUUGCCUAUUGCACUAUAGGUAGGUCGAUGUUGAAUUAUAAAACUCAAUCUUAAGCUUAUCUAACAACUUAUUGACUUUUUUGCUCACAAAACUGGGUUCC
rnacentral:lncRNA from 1 species